ACUGGAGGUGGGUGAGGGUGUUGGUUCCAGACCAAUGAUCCCGCCGGGGAGGGAGCCGCUGCCUCCUCUUGCCUUCGCACCUCGGUGGCUGGGGUGACUCGUUCUCCCCGCGGCCUCUUGAGGAUGAGGUGCAGUCUCUUCCCAGGCUCCACGAGUUUUCGCAGGGAGGACACACAGCUGAAGACCCAGCAGGGUGGGAGAUUUCACAUGGACUUCUCCAGCUGGACUGAGGAGAAACCACACCCUGGAUGUCUGCUGAAGGAAGAAUGAAAAGGUAGUUUAUUUCCCUGGUUCCCUGUGAUGUCCCCAUUUUUCAUGAGUCAAAUUCUCCCUUUUGGGGAGCUUUCUUUCGAUUUGGGUUGAUCGGAGUCCAGGCUUUUUAGGAUGCUAAAUUCCAUACUUGGUGGGCUGGUGUUUCACCCAGGACUGAAAGUGGCAUUCUCUCCCAACAAGGAGAAAUGAGGGUACUCGAGGGCAUCUAAGAUGAUGCAUAAUUUUAUAUUUUCAAACUCAUUUACUGGUUUUGCCUCUCAGAUCUACUCAAACCUUCCCAGUGUAUUCAGCUCCCAACCACAAUGUUUCUUUCUUGGGAACAAAGUGGUCCUCAAUAUUUGCCUGUCAGAAGUAGUUCAGGUCUAACUAGCCCCAGAUUCUUCAAGGCAGCUCAUCAUGAUUUCCAAGUAGAAGAAAGCAAGAGUUAAAUCAAGUAACAUUCCCCAGCUCUGGCUGCUUUCAAGGCAGUCAAACAGUUCCUUGAUGCUGCCACCAGGUGGAGCCAUUGAACCAAGUCGGAUUCCUCAUGCCCUGAGUAGGGAUGGUGGAUACAUAGUGUAAGUUACAACUGCCAUAAGAAAACUUUGAACAGUGUUUCCAAAUAAAAGGUAUACUAAUUAACAAAGUGUUCUUAAGAAAGUACCUACUUAGAAAAUCUUUAGAUUUUUGUGUUGGGGUGAUUUGGAAACAAAAUAUAUUUUAUUGAGAACAAAUUAUUUCUUUUCAUAUCAUUUCAACAACACUUCUUAAAAGAUUAUGUGCCCUUCCCUGUGCUGGACUCUGAAGCUACAAGGACAAGUAAGAUGCAAAGGCAGUCAUAAGCCAGUAGAGAAGAAAACACACACAAAUAUAAAUAUUUUGUCUUUUUAGGGCCUCACCCGCAGCACAUGGAGGUUCCCAUGCUAUGGGUUGAAUUGGAGCUAUAGCUACUGCCACUUAAUUGACAAGACUAGUGCUGUCUAAUGGAACUUUCUGAGAUGGUGAAGAUAUUCUGCAUCUGCACCAUGUGAGACUGUGGCCACUAGCCAUAUGUGGCCAGUGAGUGCUUGAAAUGUGGGUAGUGUGAUAGAGGAACUAGAUUUUAAAUUCUGUUUAGGUCAGAUUUAAAUAGUUGCGUGUGGCUAGUGGCUACUAUACUGGGCAGCCAGAUCUGGUUAGGAGCUAUUACCUUGUGGAAGAGAGAGAUUAUGUUAGAAAAAUCAGCAGAGACUUUCGUGCCUCUGUGUGUGGGGGGGACCAGGGUACCGAGGAAUGGUAACUGGAAGAAAGGUACAGGCUAGAUAGCACAUAGGAGGGUGAGGUCCCUGGCAGGGAGGGGGCUGUGGUGUUUGGUGGCAGGGGAGUGGGGGCUGUCACUGUGAUUGGAGGUGAGACUUCUGACCCAGCAUCUGGAGCCUUGUUGGUGCCUAAUUAUGUCCAGUCCCCAUUCAAGUUUGCUCACACUUUGCCUGUGCAGAGAUACUGUGAUGACAGGUCUGUCUCUUGUGAGCCCACUGACAGCCAGCUUGUCCCCCUUGACUGUCCAGCUGCAGAGCCAUUGUUCUGUGCCCUCAUAUUUUGCUUAGCAACAAUCUGACCCACCCCCAUGUGGACAAUAUAAUAAACAACAUAUGACAUGGAUGACAAAAGCCAACCUUACUACUUAAAAUAUGAGUGCAAAUUUAAACAUUUAAAUUAAAACUUAAAAACAUUAGACUUGGAGUUCCCAUCAUGGCACAGCAGAAAUGAAUCCAACUAGGAGCCACGAGGUUGCGGGUUCGAUCCCCAGACUCCCUCAGUGGGUUAAGGAUCUGGCAUUGCCCUGAGCUGUGUUGUAGGUCACAGACAUGGCUCGGAUAUCGGAUGUGGUGUAGGCUGGCACCUGUAGCUCCGAUUAGACCCUUAACUUGGGAACCUCCAUAUGCCGUGGGUGCUGCUCU
rnacentral:lncRNA from 1 species